rnacentral:rRNA from 1 species
UGGGGAAUAUUGCACAAUGGGCGCAAGCCUGAUGCAGCCAUGCCGCGUGUGUGAAGAAGGCCUUCGGGUUGUAAAGCACUUUCAGCGAGGAGGAAGGUGGUGAGCUUAAUACGCUCAUCAAUUGACGUUACUCGCAGAAGAAGCACCGGCUAACUCCGUGCCAGCAGCCGCGGUAAUACGGAGGGUGCAAGCGUUAAUCGGAAUUACUGGGCGUAAAGCGCACGCAGGCGGUUUGUUAAGUCAGAUGUGAAAUCCCCGGGCUCAACCUGGGAACUGCAUUUGAAACUGGCAAGCUAGAGUCUCGUAGAGGGGGGUAGAAUUCCAGGUGUAGCGGUGAAAUGCGUAGAGAUCUGGAGGAAUACCGGUGGCGAAGGCGGCCCCCCUGGACGAAGACUGACGCUCAGGUGCGAAAGCGUGGGGCAGCAAACAGGAUUAGAUACCCUGGUGUCCACGCUGUAAACGAUGUCGAUUUGGAGGUUGUGCCCCUUGAGGCGUGGCUUCCGGAGCUAACGCGUUAAAUCGACCGCCUGGGGAGUACGGCCGCAAGGUUAAAACUUAAAUGAAUUGAC